UACCUGGUUGAUCCUGCCAGUAGUCAUAUGCUUGUCUAAAAAGAUUAAGCCAUGCAUGCCUAAGUGCAAGCCUUCAUACGGUAAAACCGCGAACGGCUCGUUAAAUCAGCUAUAGUUUAUUGGAUCACACCCGUCAAAUGGAAAACUGUAAUAACUCCAGAGGUAGUACAUGCCCGAAGCCCUGAUCCGCGAGGGCAUGGGUGCAAUUAUUAAAUCAGCAGCCAAACAGGUAGUGUUCUUCUGCUUUCGGGUGGGAGCUCCGCUACCUGUCGUCCUUCCGGUGACUCUGGAUAAUUGUUACAGGUCUCAGUCGGCCUUCCAUUGGCAACGGGUGCUUCAAAUAUCUGCCCUAUAAACGUUUGAUGGUAGGUGACCUGCAUACCAUGGCGCUAACGGAUAACGGGGAAUCAAGGUUCGAUUUCGGAGAAGGAGCCCGAGAAAGGGCUCCCACUUCCAAGGGAGGCAGCAAGUGCACAAAUUACCCACUGCCAGAACGGGGAGGCGGUGACGAAAAAUACCGAUGCGGGGCUCUUAUUGAAGCUCCGUAAUCAGAAUGAGUGAACUCUAAAUCCUUUCACGAUGAUCAAUUUGAGGGCAAGUCUGGCGCCAGGAGCCGCGGUAACUCCAGCUCCAAUAGCGUAUCUUUAAGUUGCUGCAUUUUAAAAGCUCGUCGUUGGCUCUCGGUAUAACUGUCGCCUGCCAGUCCUCGGCUGAUUGUGUCGGUGUGUGAGGGACCUUGCUUCACUCGGUGGCCCUUGCCCAGACAUGGUUAUGCUCGAGUUGGUGUGGUGGUGAUGUCACCUUUCAGCCAUGUCUGUGGUGAAGUACCCGCAGGUGAAGGAGACUGUGAGGUGGUGUUCUGCGAUAGCAGGUUCCGUCGGCUUGUGGCAACCAAGCGUUUAUAGCGACGUCAUUUUUUGAUCCACCGAUGUCGGCUCUUCCUAUCAUUG
rnacentral:ncRNA from 1 species